rnacentral:rRNA from 1 species
UACGUAGGUGGCAAGCGUUAUCCGGAAUUAUUGGGCGUAAAGCGCGCGCAGGUGGUUUCUUAAGUCUGAUGUGAAAGCCCACGGCUCAACCGUGGAGGGUCAUUGGAAACUGGAAGACUUGAGUGCAGAAGAGGAAAGUGGAAUUCCAUGUGUAGCGGUGAAAUGCGUAGAGAUAUGGAGGAACACCAGUGGCGAAGGCGACUUUCUGGUCUGUAACUGACACUGAGGCGCGAAAGCGUGGGGAGCAAACAGG